rnacentral:lncRNA from 1 species
AGGGGAGAAGAGGGAGAGAGGGGAACGAUGCCCACAACGCCUCGGUCUUAGCCGAUUCGGCGUUCAUUGGUGCUCAACGCCUCCGCCUCCAUCAUGGCACCAGUCUAAAACCCCUCAAAACGCAGGUAAGUUUACUCGUCUUUUAUUUUGCUAAAAUUUUUAUCUACCAAAGCAAAGAGAAAAAAAAGAAAAUAAAAACCCAAAAGGGAGAAUAUGAAUCGAAGAACCACUUUCGGUUUUUCUGAGUAUUGUUUCAAACGUUUGCAUUCGUAUUGAUUUCUUUUUGCGUAAUCUCUGUGAACGUAACCUUACAAAGGAUGAAAUCCUUUGGCUUUAUAGCCCAAAGGAAAGAAAGAAAAAUCAAUAAAAUAAAUAAAAAAUACAAUAUUUCCAUUUGUUUGUAUUUGUUGCUGUUGCUUGUUUUUUUUUUUUUUUGCAGGUACGGGUGUGCUGGUGCUCGGGUACGGAGGCUUGGGCAUGGCAUGGCUGUUGAGGUGCUGGCAUCGUACGAAGGCGUUGUCUGGUUGCAGCGUAAGCAUUAGGCUAGGGUUUUUUUGCCUGCUUUAAAUUUUGGGCCACUUGGGCCUAUUGUAUUUGGCCUUGGGUUAUGUAGCUGGGAUUGGGUCUGUUAUAAAACUGGACUGUUGUAUUGGUUUGGUUUAAAAUUUUAUUAUUUAUUUAUUUUGUAUAUAUUUUGGUUUCUAGUGGGCCCGGGCAAAUUGGCCCAUUUACAAUGUUGAAUUUUUAAUUUGGCAGUAGUGAAUCGUGGAAGUCGUGGCCCCCCUCUUAUAGAUUCAUAGUUAGGGAUUGCCAGAAUUUGGAGGUAAGUGAUGAGUGGUCGAUAUAUCUCGUUUGGUUUCGUAGUUACGGUUUAGUUACAUGUUAAAUCUGAAUUUGGGCUUUGGAUUAUCGAUUGUUAGAUUUUGGAGUGCUCGGGAUUGUGUUUGCUAUGAAAUUAUAUCAGGUGUGUACCCGAAAUGUAGAAAAAUAGGAUUUGGCGAAAGCUGGAAUACCCCAUUGUCGACGCCACACGGGCAUGUGGUUGCCUGUGUGGUAGGAUGUGUGCGACAACACGGCUGUGUGACCGACAAAGGCUAGGUCAUGCGUAAGACAGAGUCGUGUGAUGUUUGAGGUGUGGCCGUAUGGGCUACACAAGCUAAACCAAAUUGGGUGUAUGGGCCACACGGGCCUGUGGGCCUACAUAGACAUUCCACACGGAUGUAUGAUAUCUGGGCCAGGCUGUGUGAUCUGCACUGGCAAUGCCAAUCUAGGUGUGUGGGCCCAUUUAGCUAAAAUGUUUCCUAGGGUUGCACGGGUCACCCAAGUCGACUGUGAACCUACUGUAGGGUCGAUAAAUACUACUUAGACCCUAAAUCGUGUGACCUGAAUAUAUAAUGCAUGUACUAAGCAUGUUAAAUUUAUGCAUGUUUACCGGUCUGUAUGUAUGAUUGAUAACUGAAUUUUAGCAUGUAAGCAUGUAUCUCUGUAUGUUUGCAUUAAGCAUGUUUAGUUGCAUCUGCAUUGGGGUGGGAUGAUUGAUUAUUGGAGGAAAUGUACUGAAAGGCUUUCAUGCUUAUUAUCUGGCAGCUUAGCUACAAUAUUACCGAUAUGUGUCGUAUUUGGUACAACUUGGUGUGUAGGGUUGAGUGGGUGUUCCAAACCCCACAGGGUGUGUAGGGAUGGUCGGAGAUGGUGUGUAGAGGCUAGUGGGUAGGAUACUGAUUUUUGUUACUGAAUACAUAAUGUAUCUAAGAUGGGCUAAGGCCUUAAUUUAU